rnacentral:rRNA from 1 species
UGGGGAAUAUUGCACAAUGGGCGCAAGCCUGAUGCAGCCAUGCCGCGUGUGUGAAGAAGGCCUUCGGGUUGUAAAGCACUUUCAGCGAGGAGGAAGGGUUCAGUGUUAAUAGCACUGUUCAUUGACGUUACUCGUAGAAGAAGCACCGGCUAACUCCGUGCCAGCAGCCGCGGUAAUACGGAGGGUGCAAGCGUUAAUCGGAAUUACUGGGCGUAAAGCGCACGCAGGCGGUUUGUUAAGUCAGAUGUGAAAUCCCCGCGCUUAACGUGGGAACUGCAUUUGAAACUGGCAAGCUAGAGUCUUGUAGAGGGGGGUAGAAUUCCAGGUGUAGCGGUGAAAUGCGUAGAGAUCUGGAGGAAUACCGGUGGCGAAGGCGGCCCCCUGGACAAAGACUGACGCUCAGGUGCGAAAGCGUGGGGAGCAAAACAGGAUUAGAUACCCUGGUAGUCCACGCUGUAAACGAUGUCGACUUGGAGGUUGUGCCCUUGAGGCGUGGCUUCCGGAGCUAACGCGUUAAGUCGACCGCCUGGGGGAGUACGGCCGCAAGGUUAAAAC